rnacentral:rRNA from 1 species
AGUAAUGUAUGGGGAUCUGCCCGAUAAAGGGGAAUAACUACUGGAAACGGUGGCUAAUACCGCAUAAUGUCUACGGACCAAAGCAGGGGCUCUUCGGACCUUGCACUAUCGGAUGAACCCAUAUGGGAUUAGCUAGUAGGUGGGGUAAAGGCUCACCUAGGCGACGAUCUCUAGCUGGUCUGAGAGGAUGAUCAGCCACACUGGGACUGAGACACGGCCCAG